GGCUCAGAACGAACGCCGGCGGCAAGCUUAACACAUGCAAGUCGAACGGACCGUACACGCUGCUUGCUGCGUGGAUGGUUAGUGGCAGACGGGUGAGUAAUGCAUAGGAAUCUGCCUAGUAGUAUAGGAUAGCCACUAGAAAUGGUGGGUAAUACUGUAUAAUCCCUGCGGGGGAAAGAUUUAUCGCUACUAGAUGAGCCUAUGUCAGAUUAGCUAGUUGGUGGGGCAAUGGCCCACCAAGGCUGUGAUCUGUAGCUGGUCUGAGAGGAUGACCAGCCACACUGGAACUGAGACACGGUCCAGACUCCUACGGGAGGCAGCAGUGGGGAAUAUUGGACAAUGGGCGCAAGCCUGAUCCAGCUAUGCCGCGUGAGUGAGGAAGGCCUUAGGGUUGUAAAACUCUUUCAGUAGGGAAGAUAAUGACGGUACCUACAGAAGAAGUCCCGGCAAACUCCGUGCCAGCAGCCGCGGCAAUACGGAGGGGGCAAGCGUUGUUCGGAAUUAUUGGGCGUAAAGGGCAUGUAGGCGGUUUGGUAAGUUAAAGGUGAAAUACCAGGGCUUAACCCUGGGGCUGCUUUUAAUACUGCAGGACUAGAGUCCGGAAGAGGAUAGCGGAAUUCCUA
rnacentral:rRNA from 1 species